UAGGGAAUAUUGCAAAAUGGGCGAAAGCCCGAUGCAGCAACGCCGCGUGGGCGAUGAAGGCCUUCGGGUCGUAAAGCCCUUUUUGAGGGGAUGAGGAAGGACAGUACCCUCAGAAUAAGCCUCGGCUAACUACGUGCCAGCAGCCGCGGUAAAACGUAGGAGGCGAGCGUUAUCCGGAUUUACUGGGCGUAAAGCGCGUGCAGGCGGAUUGGAGAGUUGGAUGUGAAAGCUCCCGGCUUAACUGGGAGAGGUCGUUCAAUACUUCCAGUCUUGAGUGCAGUAGAGGGAAGUGUAAUUCCGGGUGUAGUGGUGAAAUGCGUAGAUAUCCGGAGGAGCACCAGUGGCGAAAGC
rnacentral:rRNA from 1 species